rnacentral:misc_RNA from 1 species
GAUGAAGAACGCAGCAAAAUGCGAUAAGUAAUGUGAAUUGCAGAAUUCAGUGAAUCAUCGAAUCUUUGAACGCACAUUGCGCCCGCUGGUAUUCCGGCGGGCAUGCCUGUUCGAGCGUCAUUUCAACCCUAAAGCCCCCGGGUUUGGUGUUGGGGAUCGGCUCUGCCCUUCUGGGCGGUGCCGCCCCCGAAAUACAUUGGCGGUCUCGCUGCAGCCUCCAUUGCGUAGUAGCUAACACCUCGCAACUGGAACGCGGCGCGGCCAUGCCGUAAAACCCCAACUUCUGAAUGUUGACCUCGGAUCAGGUAGGAAUACCCGCUGAACUUAAGCAUAUCAAUAAGCGGAGGA